rnacentral:misc_RNA from 1 species
UCCGAGUUGACCCCGGCAGUCUCCUAUGAGUCCCCGGCAUGACCCGCUGGCAACAUAGAACGAGGGUUGCGCUCGUUGCGGGACUUAACCCAACAUUUCACAACACGAGCUGACGACAGCCAUGCACCACCUGUGAAUCACCUUCGAAAGCGAGUGGCUUUCACCACCUUGCAGAUCCAUGUCAAGCCCUGGUAAGGUUCUUCGCGUUGCAUCGAAUUAAGCCACAUGCUCCGCCGCUUGUGCGGGUCCCCGUCAAUUCCUUUGAGUUUUAGCCUUGCGGCCGUACUCCCCAGGCGGAGUGCUUAAUGCGUUAGCUGCGGCACGGAGAACGUGGAAGGUUCCCCACACCUAGCGCCCAACGUUUACGGCGUGGACUAC